rnacentral:misc_RNA from 1 species
UACGGAAGGUGCGAGCGUUAAUCGGAAUUACUGGGCGUAAAGCGCGCGUAGGCGGCUCCGUAAGUCGGAUGUGAAAGCCCCGGGCUUAACCUGGGAAUUGCAUUCGAAACUGCGGGGCUUGAGUGUGGUAGAGGAAAGCGGAAUUCCGCGUGUAGCGGUGAAAUGCGUAGAUAUGCGGAGGAACACCAGUGGCGAAGGCGGCUUUCUGGACCAACACUGACGCUGAGGUGCGAAAGCGUGGGGAGCAAACAGG